rnacentral:lncRNA from 1 species
UUACAACACAAUGGAUAUCCCCUAACAUGUCUCCUGUGUGUUUGGAUAGAAACUAUGGUACAUAUAUGCACCAUAGUUACCCUUUCUUGAUGAUGCAAAGCCUUCUCUGCCUUAGAUAAUCCUGGGUGACAUUCUAUUUUCCUAAUAUAAUUAGCAUGUUGGGAGAUGGUCACUUACAGGGCACAAUUAUUUCCUCAAUCUAUUAAAGUACAAAAGGCCUCCUUGUUCUUCCUAGGCAAUUGAGUUGUCAGGCCCUGGAGACCAUCCUUCUCCUCUUAGUGAUUAAAAGGAAGAAAGUUCUGACUGCCACACCCAGGUACAGUAGGUGUGGUCUAAUCUCUUUCUCAAAUCAUUAGCAUCAUUGAUUGACUCUCAAGCCAGGCAGUAUAAAAGGAAGUGAAUUUGCAGAGAACCUCAAUUGGAGCAGAGCAGAGCAGAGACUUAGAGACUCAUCCAUUCUUAUUGCUUCCUGGAUAACCUUGAAAUUCAUCCUAGAAAGAGGUAUCCAUAAUAUCAUAAGGACACCAAUCAGGAAUCCGAGGCGCAGAGGAAAGGCAGAAAAGUGAAGUCCUGAGGAGCAGGAGGAUCAGGUGGCCCGAUAAGCAACCACUGACGAGUGAGCUUUGCAGCAUACUAACUAACUAACCUAACUGCCCAGCUUGUUAGCUCCAGCUGCCCCUGUUAGCUGAGGUUAGCAGCAGAAGUGGUGGCCACCCUUUGAGGAGGCCUGGCGUCUGUCUCCUUCAAUUCUCAGGAUUUCAAGAUGGCUACACA